CACCUCAUUAUUAAAGGUCCCUUGGCGACUGUACUUAUCGAUGCCGCUCCACAGGAUACCCAUUGAGGUUAGA
rnacentral:snoRNA from 15 species